rnacentral:rRNA from 1 species
GGGUUGUGAGGUUAAGCGACUAAGCGUACACGGUGGAUGCCCUGGCAGUCAGAGGCGAUGAAGGACGUGCUAAUCUGCGAAAAGCGUCGGUAAGGUGAUAUGAACCGUUAUAACCGGCGAUGUCCGAAUGGGGAAACCCAGUGCAAUUCGUUGCACUAUCGUUAACUGAAUACAUAGGUUAACGAGGCGAACCGGGGGAACUGAAACAUCUAAGUACCCCGAGGAAAAGAAAUCAACCGAGAUUCCCCCAGUAGCGGCGAGCGAACGGGGAGCAGCCCAGAGUCUGAAUCAGCUUGUGUGUUAGUGGAACGGUCUGGAAAGUCCGACGGUACAGGGUGAUAGUCCCGUACACCAAAAUGCACAGGUUGUGAACUCGAAGAGUAGGGCGGGACACGUGGUAUCCUGUCUGAAUAUGGGGGGACCAUCCUCCAAGGCUAAAUACUCCUGACUGACCGAUAGUGAACCAGUACCGUGAGGGAAAGGCGAAAAGAACCCCGGCGAGGGGAGUGAAAAAGAACCUGAAACCGUGUACGUACAAGCAGUGGGAGCACCUUCGGGUGUGACUGCGUACCUUUUGUAUAAUGGGUCAGCGACUUAUAUUCUGUAGCAAGGUUAACCGUAUAGGGGAGCCGCAGGGAAACCGAGUCUUAACUGGGCGUUAAGUUGCAGGGUAUAGACCCGAAACCCGGUGAUCUAGCCAUGGGCAGGUUGAAGGUUGGGUAACACUAACUGGAGGACCGAACCGA